GACGAACGCUGGCGGCGUGCUUAACACAUGCAAGUCGAACGGAAAGGCCCUGCUUUUGUGGGGUGCUCGAGUGGCGAACGGGUGAGUAACACGUGAGUAACCUGCCCUUGACUUUGGGAUAACUUCAGGAAACUGGGGCUCAUACCGGAUAGGAGCUCCUGCUGCAUGGUGGGGGUUGGAAAGUUUCGGCGGUUGGGGAUGGACUCGCGGCUUAUCAGUUUGUUGGUGGGGUAGUGGCUUACCAAGGCUUUGACGGGUAGCCGGCCUGAGAGGGUGACCGGCCACAUAGGGACUGAGAUAGAGGCCAGACUCCUACGGGAGGCAGCAGUGGGGAAUAUUGCACGAUGGGCGGAAUCCUGAUGCAGCAACGCCGCGUGCGGGAUGACGGCCUUCGGGUUGUAAACCGCUUUCGCCUGUGACGAAGCGUGAGUGACGGUAAUGGGUAAAGAAGCACCGGCUAACUACGUG
rnacentral:rRNA from 1 species